rnacentral:rRNA from 1 species
UACGUAGGGGGCUAGCGUUGUCCGGAAUCAUUGGGCGUAAAGAGCGCGUAGGCGGCCAGAUAAGUCCGGUGUGAAAGUCAAAGGCUCAACCUUUGAAUGCCGCUGGAAACUGUCUGGCUAGAGUCCGGGAGGGGCGAGUGGAAUUCCUGGUGUAGCGGUGAAAUGCGCAGAUAUCAGGAGGAACACCAGUGGCGAAGGCGGUGUUCUGGGCCGGAACUGACGCUGAGGAGCGAAAGCGUGGGUAGCAAACAGG